rnacentral:rRNA from 1 species
AUUGAACGCUGGCGGCAUGCCUUACACAUGCAAGUCGAGCGGCAGCAUGGAGAGCUUGCUCUCUGAUGGCGAGUGGCGAACGGGUGAGUAAUGCAUCGGAACGUACCGUGUAAUGGGGGAUAACGUAGCGAAAGUUACGCUAAUACCGCAUACGACCUGCGGGUGAAAGCAGGGGAUCGCAAGACCUUGCGUUAUACGAGCGGCCGAUGUCAGAUGAGCUAGUUGGUGAGGUAAAGGCUCACCAAGGCGACGAUCUGUAGCGGGUCUGAGAGGAUGAUCCGCCACACUGGGACUGAGACACGGCCCAGACUCCUACGGGAGGCAGCAGUGGGGAAUUUUGGACAAUGGGGGCAACCCUGAUCCAGCCAUGCCGCGUGAGUGAAGAAGGCCUUCGGGUUGUAAAGCUCUUUCGGCCGGGAAGAAAUCGCACAGGCUAAUACUCUGUGUGGAUGACGGUACCGGCAUAAGAAGCACCGGCUAACUACGUGCCAGCAGCCGCCGUAA